rnacentral:rRNA from 1 species
AGUCGAACGAGAAAGCACCUUCGGGUGUGAGUAAAGUGGCGGACGGGUGAGUAACGCGUAGGAAUCUACCCAGUAGCGGGGGACAACUCCGGGAAACCGGUGCUAAUACCGCAUACGCUCUCUCUUUUGGUUAAGAGUGAGGAAAGAGGGCCUCCAUUUAUAAGCUCUCACUAUUGGAGGAGCCUGCGUUGGAUUAGCUAGUUGGUGGGGUAAAGGCCUACCAAGGCGACGAUCUAUAGCUGGUCUGAGAGGACGAUCAGCCACACUGGAACUGAGACACGGUCCAGACUCCUACGGGAGGCAGCAGUGGGGAAUCUUGGGCAAUGGGCGCAAGCCUGACCCAGCCAUGCCGCGUGUGUGAAGAAGGCCUUCGGGUUGUAAAGCACUUUCAGUAGUGAAGAAAUGCUCAGAGUUAAUACCUUUGAGCUUUGACGUUAGCUACAGAAGAAGCACCGGCUAGCUCCGUGCCAGCAGCCGCGGUAAUACGGAGGGUGCGAACGUUAAUCGGAAUUACUGGGCGUAAAGCGCGCGUAGGCGGUCAGAUAAGUGGGAUGUGAAAGCCCCGGGCUCAACCUGGGAAUUGCAUUCCAAACUGCCUGACUAGAGUAUGGUAGAGGGAGGUAGAAUUUCCUGUGUAGCGGUGAAAUGCGUAGAUAUAGGAAGGAAUACCAGUAGCGAAGGCGGCCUCCUGGACCAAUACUGACGCUGAGGUGCGAAAGCGUGGGGAGCAAACAGGAUUAGAUACCCUGGUAGUCCACGCCGUAAACGAUGUCUACUAGCCGUUGGGGCCCUUGAGGUCUUAGUGGCGCAGUUAACGCGAUAAGUAGACCGCCUGGGGAGUACGGCCGCAAGGCUAAAACUCAAAUGAAUUGACGGGGGCCCGCACAAGCGGUGGAGCAUGUUGUUUAAUUCGAUGCAACGCGAAGAACCUUACCACCCCUUGACAUCCUCAGAACUUGUCGGAGACGACUUGGUGCCUUCGGGAACUGAGUGACAGGUGCUGCAUGGCUGUCGUC